GCCUCCUUAGCUCAGUGGUUAGAGCACUGGUCUUGUAAACCAGGGGGCAUGAGUUCGAAUCUCAUAGGAGGCU
rnacentral:tRNA from 1 species